ensembl:snoRNA
CUCUUCUCUCCAAAGCACCCUGCUGAAACCGCGCGAGCCGACCCAAUCGGGUUCGGCUCCUGUGGCCGUGUAAGCAUGGGUACACCAGGGAAGGAGACUAAAGUUCACGGGGUCGCACACGAGGCUGGGAGCGACCUCUUUCUCAAUGUCUGCUCUCCUCAGUCUCAAGAUCCUGUGUUACACAU